rnacentral:tRNA from 1 species
CCUGUUAUAGUUUAAUUAAAACAUUGAAGUGCAAAUUCAAAAAAGGAAUCCUUUCUAGCAGGU